AGUCGAGCGGACAGAAGGGAGCUUGCUCCCGGAUGUUAGCGGCGGACGGGUGAGUAACACGUGGGUAACCUGCCUGUAAGACUGGGAUAACUCCGGGAAACCGGAGCUAAUACCGGAUAGUUCCUUGAACCGCAUGGUUCAAGGAUGAAAGACGGUUUCGGCUGUCACUUACAGAUGGACCCGCGGCGCAUUAGCUAGUUGGUGGGGUAAUGGCUCACCAAGGCGACGAUGCGUAGCCGACCUGAGAGGGUGAUCGGCCACACUGGGACUGAGACACGGCCCAGACUCCUACGGGAGGCAGCAGUAGGGAAUCUUCCGCAAUGGACGAAAGUCUGACGGAGCAACGCCGCGUGAGUGAUGAAGGUUUUCGGAUCGUAAAGCUCUGUUGUUAGGGAAGAACAAGUGCGAGAGUAACUGCUCGCACCUUGACGGUACCUAACCAGAAAGCCACGGCUAACUACGUGCCAGCAGCCGCGGUAAUACGUAGGUGGCAAGCGUUGUCCGGAAUUAUUGGGCGUAAAGGGCUCGCAGGCGGUUUCUUAAGUCUGAUGUGAAAGCCCCCGGCUCAACCGGGGAGGGUCAUUGGAAACUGGGAAACUUGAGUGCAGAAGAGGAGAGUGGAAUUCCACGUGUAGCGGUGAAAUGCGUAGAGAUGUGGAGGAACACCAGUGGCGAAGGCGACUCUCUGGUCUGUAACUGACGCUGAGGAGCGAAAGCGUGGGGAGCGAACAGGAUUAGAUACCCUGGUAGUCCACGCCGUAAACGAUGAGUGCUAAGUGUUAGGGGGUUUCCGCCCCUUAGUGCUGCAGCUAACGCAUUAAGCACUCCGCCUGGGGAGUACGGUCGCAAGACUGAAACUC
rnacentral:rRNA from 2 species